ACACGUAGCGGCCAAGAUGGCGCUAGCGGUUGGAGCAGGGGCUCUGCUGCGACCUUUACGGUAGUGAGGUUAGGGACGAUGGGAGAGCAGCUUUGUUCCUGAAGUGCCGUCGAGGAUUAGGAUCGAGUUUCUUCGAUCGUGAGGGCAAUUAUUAGUGGCCUCUAGCCCCCCAGAUGGCAUCUUGAGGAGAGAGAAUCCACGCUACGAGAACUAACAUAGUGGACAUCGCAGUUGUCCGUAGCCGAUUUGCGGGUUACGGAGUUGUUGCAAGUAAAGAAGGGGAAAUCCGAGCGUUCUCGCGUUGGAUUUCCUCCACGUGUGAAGUGGGAAUGGUAGUGAUAUCUCGUGCUAUCUCUGUCAAGGGCAAGAAGGAGAAGGAAUUUAUUUGAGGCCCUACGACGUGGUGCGGUGGCUCACGCCUGUAAUCCCAACACUUUGGGAGGCCGAGGCAGGCGGAUCAUCUGAGAUCGAGAGUUCGAGACCAGCUUGACCAACAUGGAGAAACCCCGUCUCUACUAAAAGUACAAAAUUAGCCAGGCAUGGUGGCACAUGCCCGUAAUCCCAGCUACUCGGGAGGCUGAGGCAGGAGAGUAGCUUGAGCCCAGGAGGCGGAGGUUGUGGUGAGCCGAGAUCGCGCCAUUGCACAGCCUGGGCAACGAGCGAAACUCCAUCUCAAAAAAAUAAAUAAAAAUUUUUUUAAAAAAGAAAUCUGUUCCCCUUUGCUGGAUUUACUUUUUUUCCUUUCUGUCCUGGACCCCAUGGUUAUUUAUUUCAAAUUCAGUCUCAAUCAGUACUUUCAAGUUUAUUCAACCAUCUCUGUCCUUCCAUCGACCCCGAAAUAGUCCUCAACCUGUGAUCAGUUUCCCAUCUUUCCUCAUGUUUGAUAUAGCUGUUAGUUAACUCUUAGUGCAUAAGAAAAAUUAUCCCAAACUUUAGUGACUUAAAACAAGAAUAAUUUUUUAAAUUUUUAUACAGUUUUUGCAUUUUCUAUUGGAAUCAAGAGUGGCUUAGCUGGGUGGUUCUGGCUUGGGGUCUCCCAAGCAGUUGCAGCUAUCUGAAGGCUGACUGGGGCUGGAGGAUCAGCUUCCAAGGUACCUCACUCACAUUGGUUGGAAAGUCAGCAAGGAAAGAGGCCUCAAUUUCUCACUAUGUAGACCUCCCUAUAAGGCUGCUUGAGCAUCUUUGGGAUAUAGUAACUGGAUUGCCCCAGAGCAAGUGAUCCAAGAGUGUUACAGAAGCUAUAAUGUUGCAAUAUGUAUACAGAGAGAUUUAGAUAUAAAAUCAGAUUUUAUAUAUGUUUGUAUAAAUGUAUAUAAAACUCACGUACUCUGAAGGUGAAUUUGUACAAAGCAGUAAAGCUAGAACAACUGGUGGGAAUAAGUUGAAAUAAUACUGCGUAGCGUUUAUUACAGACCCAUUAUGAAAAGAACACCUUGCUUAUCUUAUUUAAACCUUACAACAUUCCUAUGACUUGGUAAUUAUUGUUCCAUUUUACAGUUGAGGAAACCAAGCCCUAGAGAAAACUCAUUUGUCCAAAUUCAAAUAUCACCAGAAGACUCUUCCCCCAAACACACAGGUGUUAAGGAGGUCUGGUUAUCUGUGAUUCCAUAACCAUUGCUGUGGCCUAAAUUAUCUGUUUUACUCAUGAAUCUCCAAUUUGGGUGGGACUUAGUGGGGACAGUUAAUCUCUACUCCUCUUGACAUCAGCAAGGGAAAUUUGAAGACUGAGGUCUGGAAUCUUAUGAGGGCUCGUUCAUUCAUAAGACCAGCAGUUGACAUUGGCUGUUGUCUGGAAUCAGUCACAGACCCACCCAGGUUCAAGGAAAGGGGAAAUAGAUUUUAUCUCUUGAUAGAAGCAUAGUAGCAUCCUGGAACACCAGAAUAUUACUGUGCUCAUUUUUAGAAAUAUCAACUGCCAUAGUCUAUCUUCUGUCCACAACAGUUCAUAUUCCUCCCACAUGCAAAUGGACUCAUUCCUACCACCCAAAGUCUUCCCAUUUUGGCAACAUGCUUAGGUUUGAGGUCCAAGAUCUUGUCACCUAAAUCAAGUCCAGAUAUGGGUUAGUUUUCUUAGGUGCAGUUGCUUUCAGUGUAAAGACUCGGGAACUAAAGAGACAAGUUACCUUUUCCCCACACAUCCAACAUACAAUGGUGGGACAGGCAUGGAAAAACCACUGUAGACCUUAAUCAGAAAGGGGAAUAAAGGAGGCACGCCAGGGCCACUGAUUCAUAACAGCUCUGAUGCUAGUUCCUUGAUCAGGAAUGAUCUCUAGGAAUGAUUCUCUACAGCUCUUGACUCUACCCUCAAGCCUCCAGGUUACGCUCUCAGAAGCAUUAAUGAUCUCUAGGAAUGAUUCUCUACAGCUCUUGACUACCCUCAAGCCUUUAGGUUCCGCUCUCAGAGGCAUUAAUGAUCUCUAGGAAUGAUUCUCUACAGCUCUCGACCCUACCCUCAAGCCUCUAGGUUCUGCUUUCAGAGGCUUUCUUUAUUUUCCAUAAAAUAUAGCCAGUGUUUGAGACCAAUUAUUUAUUUAUUUAUUUAUCUAUUUAUUUAUUUAUUGAGAUGGAGUCUCACUCUGUCGCCCAGGCUGGAGUGCAGUAGCACGAUCUCGGCUCACUGCAACCGCCGCCUUCCAGGUUCAAGCGAUUCUCCUGCCUCAGCCUCCCAAGUAGUUGGGACUACAGGCGUGCGCCACCAUGCCCCACUAAUUGUUGUAUUUUUAGUAGAGAUGGGGUUUCACCAUUUUGGCCAAGCUGGUCUCAAACUCCUGACCUUGUGAUCCACCCGCCUCAGCCUCCCAAAGUGCUGGGAGUCCAGGCGUGAGCCACCACACCAGGCCAUGUCAUUGUAUCUUUUUUAGAUGGAUGAAUAUUAAAUUUAUUUAUUUAUUAUUUUUUUUGAGAUGGAGUCUCGCUCUUGUCACCCAGACUGGAGUGCAAUGGCAUGAUCUUGGCUCACUGCAACCUCCGCCUCCCAGGUUCGAGCAAUUAACCCUGCCUCAGCCUCCCAAGUAGCUGGGAUUACAGGCACGUGCCCCCUCAUCCGGUUAAUUUUUGUAUUUUUACUAGAGAUGGGGUUUCACCAUGUUGGCCAGGCUGGUCCUGAACUCCUGGCCUCAGGUGAUCCACCCGCCUUGGCCUCCCAAAGUACUGGGAUUACAGGCAGGAGCCACUGUGCCCAGCCAUGUCAUGAUACCUUUUUUAGAUGGAUGAAUAUUAAAUUUAAAAAACAAAAUGAUCCGUGUGCGUAGAAGGAACUAAAGGGGAAAAAGAUCAAUCUGAAAACAAACUAUAUAGAACAGCAUACCAGCUUCAUACUAACAUGAUAAAAGCAGAGGCUUUGGGUAACCAAAAAGUAUGCUUUUUAAGCAUGAGAAUAAUUCUAAAGGCUAGCUAUAUCUUUUCUUUCUUCUAAAAAUAAUUUCAGUUAAAGAAUUUACAUAUAAAGUUCAUUUAUCAUCACCCACUGUGGGUGAAGCUCUGUCAGGCUCCGGAGAAACAAAUUACUAAACAUGAUCAACUGCCCUUCACAUACUCAUAAUCUAGUGGGGGAGACAGACACAUACACAGAUAAUUGCCAUACAAUAUGGUGUUCAUGGUAUUAGCAAGUGUGUUUUUUUUUUGUUGUUUUUUUUUUAAUUUUUUUUAGUUUCACUCUUGUCACCCAGGCUGGAGUGCAACUGGCGUGAUCCCGGCUCACUACAACCUCUGCCUCCUGGGUUCAAGCGAUUCUCCUUCCUCAGCCUCCCGAGUAGCUAGGAUUACAGGUGUGUGCCACCACGCCUAGCAAAUUUUUGUAUUUUUAGUAGAGAUGGGGUUUCACAAUGUUGGCCAGGCUGGUCUUCCAACUCCUGACCUCAGGUGAUCCAGCCGCCUCUGCCCCGCAAAGUGCUGAGCUUACAGGCGUGAGCCACCGCACCUAGCUGGUAUUAGCAAGUUGUAAGAAAAGAGUUCCUGUAAUCCCAGCACUUUGGGAGGCCGAGGCGGGCGGAUCACGAGGUCAGGAGAUGGAGACAAUCCUGGCUAACACGGUGACACCCCGUCUCUACUAAAAAUACAAAAAAUUAGCCGGGUGUGGUGGCGGGUGCCUGUAGUCCCAGCUACUCGGGAGGCUGAGGCAGGAGAAUGGCCUGAACCUGGGAGGCAGAGGUUGCAGUGAAUGGAGAUCUUGCCACUGCACUCCAGCCUGGGCGACAGAGUGAGACUCCGUCUCAAAAAAAAAAAAAAGAAAAGAAAAGAAAAGAGUUAAGGAGCCAUUAAUACUUCCUAGGAGCUAGUAAGGAAAAGUCACCAAGAAGACAGCAUGCAAGUAGGGCCUUAAAAGAUAGAAGUUCAACAGAAAAAGGAGGAAAGGCUAUUAAAAUCCGAGAAAGAAAUAGCAAUGGCCAACUCACAGGCAUAAACAUAAGAAUUUUGGGAAAUGCAUACAUUUCAGUUUAGCUAGGUGGGGGUUUGGGGGUGGCCUCAUUACCACUGGUUGGAGGUAAAAGUCCCAACUCUCCACUUGGCCUUGUCUGACACCAUCCCACCUGAGAAGGGAAGGGCACCUCUUUGCCACCAGGUACAGGUGAAAUUCCAUGUUUUACAUGUGGUGGGCUGACAAGUGUGAGGGGCAAGUAUUAGGAGAGGGCCUUGUUACUGUCCAUUGAGGAUGAAAGUCUAAGCUUCCCCCUGUGUAUUCUCUGACAUGAACCCAGAAAUGGAGAAAGGAAGUUGAGUGGUCUCAUUAGAACCUGGCCUUUGCUGGUGGGGGUGGGGGUUGGGUUGUAGUUUUUUUCCCGUGGUACUUAUCUGGAGUAGAGACAUUAUCAUCUAAAAAUGUUCUGUCUUGCAAAGCUGCUGCUUUCCUAGUCCUUUGACUAGACAGAGCAGGCUUUUCCUAGGGCUUUAAAAAAAAAAUGCUGUGCCCAUUGGCAUUUCUGGGUUGCCAGCUUCUCCAGUACCCAAUCUGGGAUAUAUAAAAGAAAACCCAGGGAACUCAUUUCUGUGUAUUCCUUGGGUUCCAGAUCCUUAGGUGGUCUGCCUUCUUGUCACCUUUCAGAUUCUUCUUACAUUUGUUUUAUGUAUAAUGUUUUACAUAUAGUGUCCAGGGUUUUUAGCUGCACCUAACUGAAGGAAUAGGGAAAAGUAAAUAUACUCUUUCUAUAAGUGGUAGUCUGAGGUCAAUUGAUUUGUUACAAAGCUGCCAAGGCAAUGCUCUGUGAAAGCCACCAUUAAAAGAAUGCAACAGUGGGCAACAAACUGGGAGAAAAAUACUUGUAGAACACUUAUCAGACAUAAGACUUGUAUCUAAGUAAGAAAACAACCCCAUUUUAAAAUAGGCAAAAGACGCUUCACCGAAGAGGAUAUACAGAUGGGAAUAAGCACAAGAAAACAUACUGAACAUGAUUAGCCAUAAGAGAAAUGCAAAGUAAAAUGACAGUGUCACAGCUGGGUGCAGAGACUGUCUCCAGAUGCUGAGACAGGAGACAUCUCCAGAUGCUGGGCUCACUUGAGCCCAGGGUUUCGAGGCUGUAGUGUGCCGUGCUUGCGUCUGUGAAUAGCCACUGCACUCCACCCUGGGCAAUAUGGUGAGACCCCGUCUCUUAAAUCAAAUAAAAUCAUGAUACAAUACCACUACCCACCUAAUAGAAUGGCUGAAAUAAAAUACAUUGACAACACCAGCUCCUGGUGAGGAUGCAGAGCAACUGGAACUCUCAUACAUGACUGAUAGGAAUGCAAAAUAGUAUGGCCACUCUAGAAAGCAGUUUGGCAUUUUCUUGUAAACUUUCAAACAGUUACUAUAUGACUCAGCAAUAACAUUCGUACACAUUUUGCCUAGAGAAAUGAAAAAUUUCACAUGAAAACAUGCAUGAGUGUUUAGAACAGUUUUGUUCUUAUUCACCAAAAACUGGAAAUAACCAAAUGUCUUUCAGUGAGUGAAUAAGUAAACUGUGGUACAUUUAUACAAUGGAAUACUACUGAGCAAUAAAAAAGAGGUAAGAUACACACAAGAAGUUGGGUGAAUCUCAAAGGCAUUAUUCUGAGUAAAAGAAGCCAAUAUCCAAAGGUUACAUACUAUAUGAUUCCAUUUGUAUGACAUUCUCCAAAAGGUACAAAUAUCACAACAGCAUACAGAUCAAUGGCUGCCAAGGGUUUGGAGUUGGGGGAGGGUGAUGGAACUGCUUUGUAUUUUGAUUGUAGUGGUAGUUACAAAAACUUUGUUAAAAUUUAUAGAACUGCCGGGCACAGUGGCUCACUCCUGUAAUCACAACACUUUGAGAUGCCGAGUCGGGAGGAUCAUGAGGUGAGGAGUUUGAGACCAGCCUGGCCAACGUAGCGAAACCCCGCCUCUACUAAAAAUACAAAAAAACAGCCAGGCGUGGUGGCGGGCACCUGUGAUCCCAGCAACUCAGGAGGCUGAGGCAGGAGAAUAGCAUGAACCCGCGAGGCGGAGCUUGCAGUGAGCCGAGAUCACGCCACUGCACUCCAGCCUGGGCGACAGAGUGAGACUCCGUCUCAAAAAAAAAAAAAAAAAAAUCUAUACCAUGAAAAGUAUGUGAUGCUGUAUGUAAUAUUUUAGAAUUUAUUUACUGUUUUUAUUUAUAUUGCUAAGAGUCAUCCAUAUUGUCGCAUGUUGCUAUGGUUCAUUUAUUUUAACUGUUGUUUCUCCAUUGUGUGAAUUUAUCCAUUUUUUCACCCAUUCUCCCAUUGAUGAACAUUUUAUUGUUUUUGUUCAUGUGAACAGUUUGCUCUGAAUAUUCUUGUUCAUGCCGCCUAUUGAAAUUAUGAAUUUCUCUAAGUCAUUUGAACCCAAGACUUAGAGAAAUUGUUGGGUCAACUUUUGUCCUAAAGUUAAAUAUUCAUGUGUUCAACUUUAGGAGAAAAUGCCAGGCCAUUUUCAAAUGUUAGACAUAAUAUUUGAUACUGUGAGAAUGAGAAUAAGAGUGUAAAAGUGGAAGCAUGGAGAUCAAUCUUUGGGAUGCUCCCACUGCACUCUGCUCUUUGUCCAAGAGACUUGGCCAAAUUCCCUCUUUUUUAGAAGCCUCACCUCCUCCCACACCAGGCACAAUCAGUUUUCCUCCUGUAGGUUCCCAAGGCACCUGUUUCAUGCCAUACUUUAGGUAAUUAUCAGACUGUAUUGAGAUAAUAAUUCCUUCUAGCAGGUAGGAAGCUUCUAGAAGGCAUAGGCCAAGAUUCUUUGUAUUCUCCAUGCCCAGGACCUAGAUGAGCACAAUAAAUAUUUCAGUAAAUGAACGUUCUUCCUCAAAUCUAUACCCCCACUUUCCCAGUAUCAGAUAAUGAAUGAAAUUUAUUCUUUCUUUAAUAAUAUAGAAUAUAAUUGCUUGUUUCCAUGGUAGUUGCCAAUGCCAAAGCUCCUUGAAGGAAGGAACUACACCCCUUUUUUAUUAUAUCCAGCCUUUAAUAUAGUGCUUGGCAAAUUGUAGAUUCUUGAAAAGCGUAUUGAAUAUGUUUAAUAAAUUGAAACUUGCAGCAUUUUAAGAGUGUUUAUUCACAGCCUGGGCAACAUAGUGAGACUCCAUCUCUAUAAAAACAUUUUUUAAAAAUUAGCCAGGUGUGGUGGCAUGUAUCCAUAGUCCUAGCUACUUGGGACUGAGGCAGGAGGAUUGCUUCAGCUAAGGAAUUUGAGGUUACAGUGAGCCAUGAUCAUGCCACUGCACUCCAGCCUAGGUGAAAAAGUGAAAACCUGUCUCAAAGAAAAAAAAAAGUGUUUAUUCUGAAUGUCAGUUACCAUGGUCCAAUGCUGGAGAUAAAAUGUAGAAGAUUUAGCUACUUAUAAAUAUGCCAUGAUGACCGUAGAACAUAUCCAUGCAUGUGGCUUAAAAAACAAAAAUAAAACAAUUCUUGGAUAUCAAAGGGUGAGAUUUCAUUUAUAUUAUAUAAAGUUCAAAAGCAGUUGAAAAUAAUCUAUAGUGAUAGAGGUCUGAAUAGUAAAUACCUUUAGGGAGCGACCUAUAGAACACGUGGGAGCCUACUAGGAUGCUAUCAAUCUUCUAUAUUUUGAUCUGAGUAGGGGCUAUAUGUAUAGAUAUUGCAUAUGUGAAAGUUUAUUAGGCUGUACGUAAAUGAUUUAUGUGCUUUAUAUAGAUUGUAUCUCAAUAAAAGUAAAAAGCACUAUA
rnacentral:lncRNA from 1 species